GAAAAGAACUUCCUGCUUCAGUAGUUUUCAAACACAGCAGUCAGCAUUUCAGUAACCAAAGCUGGAGGCCGUUGAGAAAGCAAGGAGUAUGCGUGUGUGUCAUGAUUAAAGGAGGAGACGUGGGGAUUAUGUUGAACAGCAGACCACCACUCCACUACAGGGAGAAGGCCAAAUCUCCCGAAAGGCGAAGAACGGAUCAUGCUCAUCCUCUCCGGCAUCCGCGGCGCCCCCGAUCCCGGAGUGCCGGCAGCAGAGGCAGCACCUGGCAGCGAAGGUCCCGCCCACAGCCCAUCCAAGAACUCACGACUCCGUCCUGUUAUCUUUCUUUCAUCACUAAAGCGGUGCUGUGGGACAAAGACAUUAACCACAAUACGGGAUCCAAUACCAAGAAGAGCAUCCUCCCUUCACUGUGUCCCCGGUUUGUGAGCCACAUGAAGUCCUUCCCAGCAAAUUUCAGACCUCAUGUCAAUCCAGAGAUCAGUAAUUGGCUGCAGACUGAAACAAGUGUCUCCCGAAAUAUAGACCACACGAGAAGAUGGCAAUACAGAGGCCAAUCCAAUAGGGGGCGCAGUGAGGUUGUUGUUCCUCGUGUACCAGCAUUGAACAUGCCAUCAUCUGAGCGAUCAAUGCCUCUGUUGCCACACUUAGACACCAAGACCAACUUCAGAGCUACUCAGCCCAACAUUAAUCUCAGUGUCACCCCACUGCCUCCACUGACCCAACUUAAAGAGGUAGCUGAUGUGAAGUAUCUGAAAGGGGAGGGCAAGAAGGAAGAGGAAGAUGAAGACAAGAAGGAGAAGAGCUCAUCAGGCCUCCCUAAUGUCUCAUUGCUACCAAAUUCCCCAUACCUGGACCAGAAUUGGCACCAUGGCGGGCAAGAGGCAACGGGUGACCAUCCAGCCAGCCUUUCCCCAGUGGAUUCCCUGUCUGACUUCAGUCGGCCUCCAUCCAGCCAGUUUAGUCGGUGCACUGACUUGUCCAGUGGGCCGGGGAGCAGCCAUUCUGCUGCAGAAGAGCCUCUCUCAAGUCAACAUUCAGGCAUCCCAGACCAAUUUUUGGGUGCAACGUCUGAUGCUACCCGACAGAUAACUCUUCUGUCUAGACCAUCUCAGUCGGUGCCAGACAUUCCUGCAGGGGACCAGACAGAGUGGACAGCCUGUUCCUGGAUGGUUCUCCCUCCCAUCACCACCAUGCGAGCAGCUGCAUGGUGUCACGAUGGCUGGACAUGGUGAGGAAGAAGGAUGCAUACGCACAAAACAGGGGUUUAUUACAUGUUGAACAGGACAAGGGAAACAAGUAAAAAUGACCAGACAGCGAACAGACACAAACAGGGCAGCUUUAUACAAUCAGACACAAGUGAAAACAAUCAGGAAACAUAAUAGCACAGGACGAACAUGAAACUCCAGUCCGGACUGGAUCCUGAUCCUGUGUGUACUCUUUCCAAUAUACACCUCGACUUUUACCCA
ensembl:lncRNA